rnacentral:rRNA from 1 species
UACGUAGGGUGCAAGCGUUGUCCGGAAUUAUUGGGCGUAAAGAGCUCGUAGGCGGUCUGUUGCGUCGGCUGUGAAAAUCCGAGGCUCAACCUCGGACUUGCAGUGGGUACGGGCAGACUAGAGUGUGGUAGGGGAGACUGGAAUUCCUGGUGUAGCGGUGGAAUGCGCAGAUAUCAGGAGGAACACCGAUGGCGAAGGCAGGUCUCUGGGCCAUUACUGACACUGAGAAGCGAAAGCAUGGGGAGCGAACAGG